GUUGUUUCUAGCUAACAGAUGGUUUUCUCAGAACAAUAUGUUUUGCUCUUGGGCCAAAGUGAGUAAAAUUUGGUACUAGACCCUAGAAUUUAACCUCAUAUGUUGGCAGUAGACUAGAAAAGAUCUUCAGAUGAAGAGAGCAGAGUAAAAUGGAGAAAGCCAUACACUGGGAGUCAGAUGGCCUGGAUAGGAUUUUGUGCUGGCGCUCAUUAGUCAUGAAACUUGAGGAGAGAGACUUGAGCAUGGUUAAGCACUGAUAAGUUGGAGGGAGAGUUGGAAUGGGAUCCCUGAAGAGUGCAUUAGGGCCCUAGUCCUUUCCAGGAGCCGGGAGCUGACAUCAGUCUUGCUGCCUAAAGCUCCGUAUCCAGCACUUACUAGCACCAGGCACUGUAGCAAGCAAUGGAGGUUAAAACAUGAAGAGACACUGUCCCAGCCCUCUCGGAGCUCACGUUCCAGCAGGAGGAAGCUGCACAGAUGUUGAAACGACUACUACAGGAUGAGAUGUUAAACUGGAAAGAAAACUUACAGACCUACAGGAACACAAGGACAGUAACAUCUUUGUAUUCUCACAACCCAGAGAUGUAAAAUGUGUGUGUAAGAUGGAGAUAGAGCUUCUGCAUUUUCAAAAUGCUCAGAUGCCUGCAUGUGAAAGGCAGAGAGGAGAACCGGGACUCUCAGAGGAGAUGAAUUUUGACUCCAGACUGACUGGAACCAUCAGGAACUGGUGACUUGUGACCACAGCUCGUCCCGAGCAGACUCACUGCUGCCUCUGUGGUGAGCCUAUUUUCAAAGCCCCACAGUGGCCCCUUGUAAACUUUUCUCUUUUCCCUCAAGCCCUGACCCCUCCAGUCCACUUGAGCUCCCACUGUGUGGAGACAAAAGGCCACCUAUUCUGUAGCAUCCCCCUCAAAACACCUCUAUUUUCAGCCCUUCUUCCUCCCUAUUUUAAUGAGCAGGUUUUCUGGAUUUUUCCCGAGGUCAGUUUCCCUGCUUGUGUGCUUGGCCCCAUCCUUUCCACCCCCCCAGGACCUUACUCAUUUGGUGAAAAUACAACUUUUUAGAAAUAAAUAUGUAACGUUCUCUGCACUUAAUAUUUUAUGGUAAUUAGGCUUUUUAAUCCCAAUGUCUGCUAUGCUAGGCUGACAGGAUUUUUAUGUAAACUAGCUGAUUUAUAUAUAUGUAAGUCCUAUAUAUGUAUAUGAAAAUUACAUUGGUAUGUUUAGACUAGUACAGCAGUGAGGAUGACAGAGAGAAAAGCAGGCGUAUGAAAAUGCAGAACAAUAGAUUAAACUGUGAAGCCUUUGUAGGUGGACAGCCUGAGCAUGCUUUGCUAAUUGUUUUGAAUCCUCAAUACCCUGUAGUGCAGAAAGGGUGGGGCAAGGGGCCCAGAAUCACACAUGUAUCAUGCCUUAAAGGCAAGCUGCAGACAAAAGCUGUGUUGAUGCCAUUACUAGAACUCCUCCCUGCCAUGUCCCCUACCCCCACUGCUGGGCCCCCUAACUUGUUUAUUUCUAUUGAAGUAUAACAUACAUUAAAUAAUUUUCCCCUUUUAAAUGCACAGUUUGAUAAGUUUUAAAAUAUGCAUACUUCUAUGUGACCACCAGCACAAUCAAGAUACAGUUUUGAUUUCAUCACCCAAAAAGUCCUCUCUUGCUCCUUUGCAUUCAAGGUCUGCUCCUCCCAAUCCCAGGAAUCCAUCAGGUUGUUGUCUCUGAGCAUUAUGGACUGCGUGUUCAUGUCGCCCCAAUUAAUAUGUUGAAACCCUAACUCCCAACAGAGUGGUAUUAGGAGAUGGGGCUUUUGGGAGAUAAUUAGGUCAUGAGGAUGGGGCCCCCAUGAUGGAGAUUAGUGCCCUUAUAAGAAGAGGAAGACAGCUAGCUCUCUGCUGUCUCGGCCAUGUGAGGAUACAGCAAGAUGUCCUCUGCCAGCCAGGAAGAGAGCCCUCAGCAGAUAUUAGAUCUGCCCGUGCCUUGAUCUUGGACUUUCUAGCCUCCAGAACUGUGAGAAACAAAUGUUUACUGAUUAAGCCACCCAGUCUAUGGUAUUUUUUUGUUAUAGCAUCCCAAGCAGACUAAGACGCUUAGUAUAGACCAGUUUUGCCUGUUCUAGUAUAGAUUCACAAAUUAGUUUUGACUGUUUAUACAAAUGGUACAUUCGAUAUAAACUCUUUAUUGUCUGGAUUCUUUUCCUCAACCUAAUAUUUUAAAAAUUCUUCUAUGUUAUUACAUGUAUCAGUGUUUCUUCCUUUUUAUUUGUUAGUGGUAUUUUAUUGUAUAAAUACACCACAAUCUGUCACAUUUGGGUUGUUGCCAGUGUUUGGUUAUUAUGAAUAAAACUACUAUAACAUUCGUGUGUGUGGACAUAUAUUUUAAUUUCUCUUGGUACAUAUUCAGGAGUGAGAUGGUGAGUUAUGCUUAACUUUUUAAGAAAUUACCAAACUGUUUUCCACCAGCAAUGUUGCUUCAUAUCUUCACCAAUACUUGGUAUUGUCAAUCUUUUAAAUUUUAUCCUCUCUAAUAGAAAUGCAGUUAUGUUUUAUUUUGGUUUU
ensembl:lncRNA